UGCAGCAGUGAUAGCAUGUUGAAUGUACUAGUUCCCCAUGGAUCACUGAAGUUAAGCAACGUUGCACGUGGUUGGUAUCGAGAUGGAUGACCAUCUGGACAUUUUUACUUUUUCUAAAG
rnacentral:rRNA from 1 species